rnacentral:RNase_P_RNA from 1 species
UGAGACGGCUAAGCGAUCGCUGACAAACUAAAUUGUUAGAGGAAAGUCCGGGCUCCAAAGGACAAAGUGCCAGGUAACACCUGGGAAGUGUGAACUUACGGAAAGUGCAACAGAAAGUAAACCGCCCUAGUUUUAACUAAGGUAAGGGUGAAACGGUGUGGUAAAAGCACACCGCAAUGUCUGGUAACAGCAUUGGCUAGGUAAACCCCACUUGGAGCAAGACCGAGUAGAGAUAGUACGGCGUGAUCCGCGUCCAAUCUGGGUAGGUCGCUAGAAACAGAUGGCGACAUCUGUUCCAGAUGAAUGAUCGCUCACGACAGAACCCGGCUUAUCGGCCGUCUCACUCU